GCACUGCUGAGUAGUCCCAUAAUAGGACGAAACAACCGUCCAGUGC
rnacentral:hammerhead_ribozyme from 1 species